UUUAACUAAAUUUAAAUGUCUCAAGUAUAUAUAUUAUAUAAUGACAUAUAUUUUACUCUCACUGAUUAAUCUUUUAUUGUUCCCCAUAAAUAUAAUAGUGUGCAUUCUUUUUUAUUAUUAUUAUAAAUUGUUGUCGUUACAUAUUGAAUUUGUAUUUGACUUGACUAAUCUCAGUGAUAGUGUGGUAGUGGCUUUCUUGCAACAAUGUACUUGAGGUCGAUAGACGAUCAAUGUGUGAGUAAAGAGCGAGUACAAAUAGUAUAGUGAUGAUAACAUUGGGUUCGAGAUGCUUGAGGUUGUAUUUUGUUGAAAAUACAAUAAAGAAUAAGAAAAAUUGUUACAAAUGUUAUAAAGAAGACAUUUAUUUAGUGAAUCAA